UCCGUGCUUGGAUACGUUUCGUCCAGGCAAAGAGAAGCAACUUCGCUGCCUCCUCGGUGACGAGACACACAGUGUUGUGUGAAAAACACUUCACACCGGACAACUACAACCAAGUAGAUCUGAUGGAAUUGCGCCUUGGAUUUUGACGAAGAGAGUGGGUUAGGCUGGCAAAUGGAGCUGUGCCAUCUGUGCAUGCAAGUUUACCACCAACAUCUGGCGGGAGUGAGUCUAGCACUAGCAGAGAAUCUGCGCACAGUAAAGCCUCAGAUGGUGGAUGUAGGGACUCAAACCGAAAGGUUUGAGAUACGAAGAUCGAGUCCACUGGCCAGUCCUGAACAAAGUGAUGAUGAAUGGUCAUUUUCUGAUAUAAACCAUUCUGGUGAUAUGUUAUAUUCCAGAGGAAGACAUGUUGAGCGAGUCCUCUGAGGAGGAACCAGAAGAGCUGGAAUCUCUCAGCGACCCAAAUGCUGUUGAGUUCAUUGUUUGCCAGAGGCAAUUGCUGUCUUUGUUCACUGUUUGCCCUGCAUGCUGUAGGGAAACCCAGGGACACAUAAUGCACCCGGAAGGAAUCUUCAUAAAAGUCAAGCAGGCCUGCGGAACUUGUGGAUAUGAGCUUUACUGGCAGAACCAAGAGAAUGUGCAUCGAAACAUGCCUGUCUGCAACCUUUUACUCAGCGAUGCCAUCCACUUCUCAGGUUGCAUGGCUAAUCAGAACAUCAAGAUGCUUAAGCUGUUUGGACUGCAGUGCAUAAGUCCCGGCACUUUUUUCCGUCAUCAGCGCUAUCACACUAUCCCUACCAUCAUGCAGGGCUGGAGGAAUGAGCAGAGGGGGAUCAUCAGGGAGUUAAAGGAGACUGGGGGUGGAUUGAUCCUGUCUGGAGACUGCAGAUCAGAAUCUGUUUGUCUGCUCUGGAACAGGUGUAAAGAAAAGCACUGGAUGCUGCUGCCAAAUGCCGCGUUUCCACUGCAGGGUGCGGUACUGUUAGCAAAGGUGUGG
ensembl:lncRNA